GUGCUGCUUCUUCUCCAAGGAAUGAAUGCUGCUCAAAUUUGAUCCCGAAUCAUUCAAGAGAUCGAGGGCGGCUAUAGAGUUGGCACUCCCCCUCUAGAUAUAUAGGCCUCCCCUCCCCUCAAUGAUAUAUGGUAUUAUCCACAUAUAGUUCGAGGUUGUCGAGGCCCCGACUACCUAUAUGGCUUGACGGUUAAGUCCUUCACCCACUCUUUGUCCUACCUGACUUGUCUUAGAACCCUCAGUCCAAUGUGGCCAAACUCUAAGACAGAGUAAGAAACUGAGAAUGUAUAUUAUCAGUGUGGUUAAUUGAUUCGGUCUCGGCAUCUGCUUAUUAUGGCGGAGGAGGAAACGGAUGGAAGGCAACCUCUGCAACCUUGUACGAAGACUCUGAUGCUCUCGACAUCAUGGUUUACAUGCCCUGUCAAUGCUUCCACAUUCUGCAGACGUGCCUAAUGGGGAGGCACAUAGGGUGUAGAAAUUGUUCCAUUCAAGUUACAAGGUCACUAUUAUAUAGAGAGGUCUAUAUUGGUAAAUCACCAUUGUACCAGGAGUUGCUCAUAUUUGUUUUCACGAUGCUAAUAUCCUGUUCCAAAGCUCCCAUUUUGCCACAACCAAGCAGAACGAUGUAUUUUGUGCAUAUCCUACAGUCAUGGCGUUCCAGGAGACUGAAUUUGAUUGAGGCUUUAUGUCAAUUAAUUCACUGCCUUGUCUAUGCUUCUACAUUUUGCGCACAUCUAUAUAUCAGAGCAUUCCAACCAUGGUAUAUUACAAAACUCCUUUCAUUACGGUUUGAUGGAUGUCCAUACCCUAUUCUAAAGCACCCGUUUUAGCACAGACAAAAGAGGAUUCUGACAAAGGCUAUGGAAUCUGGAUAACACCUGUCAGUUGCAUAGUUCACGUGCUUUGUCUAUGCUUCCACAUUUUGCAUUCAUGUCUACAAAAGAAGUUGCAACUAAUAAUCCCCCUUCAUGUUCCUGAAGCGCCCAUUUUGGCAGAGGCAGGUUGCCAAGGUUUUUAAAAAUAGAAUAAACGUUGCAAGAAGUGGGAAA